rnacentral:sRNA from 1 species
UGCACGCUUAUAAUCGGGUACGCCUGCCC